UACAGAGGUCCCAAGCGUUGUUCGGAUUCACUGGGCGUAAAGGGUGCGUAGGUGGCCAGGUAAGUUCGGUGUGAAAGCUCGGAGCUUAACUCCGAAAUGGCAUUGAAUACUAUCUGGCUAGAGGGUCGGAGGGGAGACUGGAAUUCUCGGUGUAGCAGUGAAAUGCGUAGAUAUCGAGAGGAACACCAGUGGCGAAGGCGAGUCUCUGGACGACACCUGACACUGAGGACACGAAAGCCAGGGGAGCAAACAGG
rnacentral:rRNA from 1 species